UCACUGAAUUUGAAUUCACCCUGACCAAAUCGCUGAAAGCUGAAAUUACUGAAAACUCAUUUCAGCGAAUCUCAUUUCACUGAAGUGA